rnacentral:tRNA from 1 species
CUCGCUGUAGUUAAAUGGAUAUAACAGGCCCCUCCUAAGGGCCAAUUGAUGGUUCAAUUCCAUCCAGCGAGA